rnacentral:rRNA from 1 species
UACGUAGGUGGCAAGCGUUAUCCGGAAUUAUUGGGCGUAAAGAGCGCGCAGGUGGUUGAUUAAGUCUGAUGUGAAAGCCCACGGCUUAACCGUGGAGGGUCAUUGGAAACUGGUCGACUUGAGUGCAGAAGAGGGAAGUGGAAUUCCGUGUGUAGCGGUGAAAUGCGUAGAGAUAUGGAGGAACACCAGUGGCGAAGGCGGCUUCCUGGUCUGUAACUGACACUGAGGCGCGAAAGCGUGGGGAGCAAACAGGAUUAGAUACA